UACGAAGGGGGCUAGCGUUGCUCGGAAUGACUGGGCGUAAAGGGCGCGUAGGCGGCUCAUCCAGUCAGGCGUGAAAUUCCUGGGCUCAACCUGGGGACUGCGCUUGAGACGUGUGGGCUUGAGUGGGGAAGAGGGUCGUGGAAUUCCCAGUGUAGAGGUGAAAUUCGUAGAUAUUGGGAAGAACAUCGGUGGCGAAGGCGGCGACCUGGUCCUUGACUGACGCUGAGGCGCGAAAGCGUGGGGAGCAAACAGG
rnacentral:rRNA from 1 species